rnacentral:misc_RNA from 1 species
GAUGAAGAACGUAGCGAAAUGCGAUAAGUAAUGUGAAUUGCAGAAUUCAGUGAAUCAUCGAAUCUUUGAACGCACUUUGCGCCCGCCAGCACUCUGGCGGGCAUGCCUGUUCGAGCGUCAUUUCAACCAUCAAGCCCCCAGGGGCUUGUGCUGGGGCCCUGCGGCUGCCCGCAGGCCCUGAAAACCAGUGGCGGGCUCGCUAGUCACACCGAGCGCAGUAGCACAUCUCGCUCAGGGCGUGCGGCGGGCUCCUGCCGUGAAACCCCCCACUGUAACCCCAAAGGUUGACCUCGGAUCAGGUAGGAAUACCCGCUGAACUUAAGCAUAUCAAUAAGCGGAGGA